rnacentral:rRNA from 1 species
GAGUUUGAUCUUGGCUCAGGACGAACGCUGGCGGCGUGCUUAACACAUGCAAGUGGAGCGACGAACCGGGGCUUGCCCCGGGGCAGAGCCGCGAACGGGUGAGUAACACGUGGGUAACCCACCCCGAUGAUUGGGACAACCCGGGGAAACUCGGGCUAAUACCAAAUGUGCUCGUAGACCAUGAGGUCCAUGAGUAAAGAUAGCUUCGGCCUUCGCAUCGGGACGGGCCCGCGGCCCAUUAGCUUGUUGGUGAGGUAACGGCUCACCAAGGCUGCGAUGGGUAGCUGGUCUGAGAGGACGAUCAGCCACACUGGGACUGAGACACGGCCCAGACUCCUACGGGAGGCAGCAGUGGGGAAUCUUGCGCAAUGCGCGAAAGCGUGACGCAGCAACGCCGCGUGGAGGAAGACGGUCUUCGGAUUGUAAACUCCUGUCAGCAGGGAAAAAGCAACCUGACCUCAUACGUCAGGAAGUUGAUUGUACCUGCAGAGGAAGCCCCGGCUAACUCUGUGCCAGCCGCCG